rnacentral:rRNA from 1 species
CACGUAGGGCGCAAGCGUUGUCCGGAAUUAUUGGGCGUAAAGAGCUCGUAGGCGGUCUGUUGCGUCCGCUGUGAAAACUCGGGGCUUAACCCCGAGCCUGCAGUGGAUACGGGCAGACUAGAGGUAGGUAGGGGAGAAUGGAAUUCCCGGUGUAGUGGUGGAAUGCGUAGAUAUCGGGAGGAACACCAGUGGCGAAGGCGGUUGCCUGGGGCUUUGCUGACGCUGAGGCGCGAAAGCUAGGGGAGCAAACAGG